GACGGAGGAUGCAAGCGUUAUCCGGAAUGCUUGGGCGUAAAGCGUCCGCAGGUGGCAGUUCAAGUCUGCUGUCAAAGACCGGGGCUUAACUUCGGAAAGGCAGUGGAAACUGAACAGCUAGAGUAUGGUAGGGGCAGAGGGAAUUCCUGGUGUAGCGGUGAAAUGCGUAGAUAUCAGGAGGAACACCUGUGGCGAAAGCGGCUCACUGGACCACAACUGACGCUGAGGCGCGAAAGCUAGGGGAGCAAACAGG
rnacentral:rRNA from 1 species